rnacentral:snRNA from 1 species
UUUGUAUUUCCUUUGAAGAUCCAAAUAAAACUCUGUUCUUAUCAGCUUAAUUUCUGGUAUGAAUCCCAAGCGGAUUCGCUACGAAAAAAGCAUAAGUUUGCGGGGGGGGUGUGAAAAAAUAGGCUUUUUUUUCGAGUGCUCGCACCACCAUUUGUCGCGGGUCGUCCUGAUAUUGCACUACAUUCAGGAACGGCCUAUUCCCU